GGCGGACAUUAGAGACGAAGUCAAACAACCGAAGCAAAUUUCACCGAAAAAAAGUAGCGAAAAUCAAAAGAGAAACAAAUUGAUAGUUUAAUAACUGAAAAUGUAUAUAUUUUGGAGAAAUCUAUUUCAGAGAACAGAAACAACGAUUCUUCAAAAAUGUAGACCAAAUCAGAAAGCUGAGGAUGCA